rnacentral:rRNA from 1 species
GGGUUGUGAGGUUAAGCGACUAAGCGUACACGGUGGAUGCCCUGGCAGUCAGAGGCGAUGAAGGACGUGCUAAUCUGCGAUAAGCGUCGGUAAGGUGAUAUGAACCGUUAUAACCGGCGAUUUCCGAAUGGGGAAACCCAGUGUGUUUCGACACACUAUCAUUAACUGAAUCCAUAGGUUAAUGAGGCGAACCGGGGGAACUGAAACAUCUAAGUACCCCGAGGAAAAGAAAUCAACCGAGAUUCCCCCAGUAGCGGCGAGCGAACGGGGAGGAGCCCAGAGCCUGAAUCAGUGUGUGUGUUAGUGGAAGCGUCUGGAAAGGCGCGCGAUACAGGGUGACAGCCCCGUACACAAAAAUACACAUAUUGUGAGCUCGAUGAGUAGGGCGGGACACGUGGUAUCCUGUCUGAAUAUGGGGGGACCAUCCUCCAAGGCUAAAUACUCCUGACUGACCGAUAGUGAACCAGUACCGUGAGGGAAAGGCGAAAAGAACCCCGG